CCCAAUGGACACAUUCUGAGAAACUCCUUUAAAAUGGUUUUGUCCCCUUUCUGUGAAGCAAGUUCUGAUUGGAGGGGUAUUCACAAACCAUAUAGGAAAGAAUCGGUUUGAAAAUGCAAAGACCAUUCUUACCCAGAUGGGCAAUGAAUAGGCGUUUGGGCAGUUAAAAAACAAAACAAAACAAAACAAAAAAAAAAAAGGAAGAAAAAAGGAAAAAAAAAAAAGCCCAGACAACAGUGUAGAUUAUGCACAUUUGCAAUCCUCCUGAGAUGCAAUUUGAAGCUGGCAUGGCAUAAAGGUGAAACAUAUUACUGUGCAACUUUGAAAAAAGCUCCGGUUUCCCCCUAUGCAAAUGUACCGAUUAAACUGUCAGGCUAUUCACAGAAACAUGCAUGGAAUUCAUCCCCAAACAGUAAGAAGGAGCACAACACGGAUGGGAAAGGGAAAAACUUUUGUUGUGUAAUACAUGACUGAGUGCUUAGAUUAGUAUUUCCUUGAAUCUCAUCCACCCCUCCUUCUGACUUUCACGCUAAGGGUGUUCGAAGGAAGGCAGAUUUUACCAUGACAAUGACAGUGACAACCUCUCCAAGUACAGUACCAGAGGGGAGGACAAAGGUAGAAGGAAACAGCAGGCAGUGUGCUCUUGGAAGAUGCUUUAAAAUAUGUGGAAGUGCAGCUGUGAGAUACAUCAAGUACAGCUUGAAGGAAGAUUUCUAUACAUCAAAGCUACAACACAUAGAUCUACAUACAGGUGGAAAGAUAUGGCUCACAAAGGUGAUUUUUUUUGUUUGUCAGAAACAUAGAGAAUGAUCCCAGCAAAUGCAUGACGUAGCACAGUUACAAAGAUGUUCAGAAUACUGAAGACUGCAGGUCAUACACAAAUGGCUAUGCUGUAUGUUUUAAAAUGUAAAGUUUUUUUUAUAUAGCCACUAGAUGUCCCUUUCUGCAAAGCCAAUGCUUGUUGCUUUGAAGCUCGUCACUGCAAGGUAUCACAGAAUUUGAUUUUCUCUACUGCCCUUCAAAAUCACAGUCUCUCAAAGCUUCCUGCACAGUGAUGACUGACCGUUCUAGAAACAGUGAUGAGGAAAUCACUGCAGCUUCUGUAAGCCAGCAGUAGCCCAGUGCAUGGCCUUCACCUGGAGCAAACUGCCAAUGUUGCUGGAAUCCGGGCUCUUUUUUGAAACUUACUGUGUGGUCUUUCACAGAAAUAACUUAGCAGGGGGAGCUCCAAAGUCUCUGCUCUUCCCUUUAUACUUAAAGAGUGAAAUAGUCACCUCCUAUACUUGAGAGCUAGUAGGCCUGUUGAAACGUAAAUGGAUUGAGUUUGGGCCUCAAUUUUCUGCAGAAGCAUUCAGAAAAUUGUUUGGCAACCCAUCUCACUGAUACUUAGACAAGAUUAACUAGAACUAUUUUGAUAUUGCUGCUUUUGCUUGUCUUCCUGACAAGCUUCUCAGGCCUUGCACUGAGAAGAACUCCCACUCUGAGAGACUGAAGAAAAGCUGGAGGCAUUUUAUCUCCUACAGAAUAUGUGCACCUGUAAUCCAGUUCCUGGAAGCACCACAAACUGAAUUAACCUGCUGCUGCUGGAGACCAGCAUAAUCAGCUACUCUUUACUCUUUGUCCCAACAGUGGCUUAUUUUGGUAAUAUCUAACCCAUGCUCUCCAAAUCAAGUGCUGGAUAAUCACAGCGUCCUGGCUGUAUCAAAAGGACACAUGAAGUUCUUCACGCAGUCAUCAAGUUUACUCCUCUUCCUUGUGGUGGGAACAAUUUACUUACACUACGUGCUCAGAAAUUUGCCUAAGACAUUUGCAAAAACCACCAAUGUGUGGGAUUUCCACUCUCUCCUCAGACAGACAGUCUACCAUCUUCAUAGUUAUAAAGUUUUCCCUAACCCUGUGCAUCCAGCACUGCAAUAGAGAAUGCUUUUAAAUCCCCAUUGGUCUUAAGGACCCAUCUUUUAGACUGGCAUUUUUGCUCAGUAACAAUGCUAAUGAAACGCUUGCCUGAGACACCUCAGAUACAAUACAGUUCAAAUAACUUACAGAAUAAAUAAAAUCAAGCAAAUAAAGCCCUGUUAUCAAAAUUAAACUCUACAGAUUUUCCUUAAAAAAAAUGCAUGUCUCAGUAAAGAAUGCUUAAUUUGGAAUGAAAAAUCUCAAGUCUUGCAUAAACAUGACAGUUCAUUAGAAAUACUGCAUUUCUAUCACAACAUAUGAAAGCCCCACAAUUACCAUAGGAAGGUUUCUCAUUUCCAUACAUCAGCAUCUCCUGUUCCAACCUUAGUAAUCAAAAACCACGGGUGCGUUCUUCAGCUCCAAUGACCUGAUUUAUCCCCAGUGAUGAAGUUUUAUGUUCAGUUGUUCUGAAAUUAGUUAUUCUAAAAUAAAACUGCAUUAACAGAGUAAAAAUUCAUAUCUAGUGUUGCCAUUGACAAAAUUAGUCCUACAUCAGGUUUCAACUCUCUGAGACCAAAUUUAACAGAAGGACUCUUUCCUACUCAAAGAAGUGACCUGAAUUUAAAAUCCUGAAAACUGGUAGUGGCUGACUUCUUAGUAUAUCUCAAUAAUGCCAGAGAGACCAAUUUAUCCAAUCCUGUACAGACUGAUUCUCCUGAAUAUUUGGCCUCAUUCUGAAAAGGGGCCUUCAAGGCACAAAGCUUGUACGGAGUUUCAGGAACACAGGAAGAGCAUUUGUAUCCUCAGCAGGAGAUCUGACCAGGAGCAGCCCUUGCUUUCUGUUGCUUUAAAGGUUUGCUGGAGUUUUCACCCAAUCAUCUGCUUGAACAUCUUGAAAAUCAGUAUCUCCUUCUAUAAUAUCUAUCCAAAACAAACACCAGAUGACACUACACGAAUUGCCCUAACCCUACCAGAUUGUUGUUAGAAUCAAAAUAUGUAGCAGUCUACAUUUAACAGGAAGUACUGUAUUUUUACCAGCACAACAUCUAUUAAUGUGUCAGUAAUAAAAUCUAUGGAAGAAAGAAUCACUGUGUUCUGAAAGCUGUCAAACUUCUCUAAAUUUCAUAGUCUAAUAACUACGUUUAUUUGAAAGACAGAAAUGCAUGCACACACGAACACAACCUUAUUCUCCAAACAUAUUGAGUAGAUGGCUAAUAAGAAAGAGUUUGUUUAAACUUUUUUGAGAAGACAGGCCUUUUCUGCAGACUAAGCAAUGUUCAGCAAAUGUCCUACGGACGAUUUAUUUAGCUAAUUGUCCUGUCCUUUUCAGCAUCUGUAGCGAUGAGAUAUCCACUUUUCAUCAAACUGAAGACUAAACCGUAGGUGUUCUGCACGGGGAAUUGCUUCUAUAUCCAGUGGACCUAAAUCUCUAAUGCUGAGCACAGAAGCCUCUAUUUCAGGCUAGACGCUAGGGGUGUAGGCAGUGAAUCACUUCCCUGUGCUUUGCCUGGAAGUCUGCAGGAAGAGUCCAUUAGCUGUAACCCCAUUUACUCCAGAUCUGCAGGGCAGCGAUGUCUGUGCCUCAGUGUCGCUUUGCAUGUAAAAAGAGAGAGCGCAUCAUGCACCCAGUUCUGUAGAAGGUACCUAAACUACUCUUUAUCCAAGAAAUGCAGAAGAACUUGUAAAGAACACUAGAGAAAGGUCAAGAACUAAUUCCAGAAGUCCUUUAAGAUUUUGUUCUCCAGGCUUACAAAAAUCAAGCUUUCUUCUGCCCUGCUCUGGUGCCUUGCUUCCUUUAUACCUCUUUAUGGUGAAAAUCCUACUUACAACUGCACAUACACACCAUCAACAGAAGAACCGCCAGAGCUGUUGUCAUAGCUGCACUGACAGAUAUUGCACCUGGAUGGCAAAGUCAUGAUUUGGGUGCUAAUUCUUGUGCCCUGACCACUUCUAACCAAUUUUCAUUAGCAAAAUGUGGGAUCACCAAACAACUGAAAAUAUGAAGUGAGAAAACUAUGCAAACACGCGGCCGCAUGAUGGCACCAUUUCCUAGGAAGAGAAACCAGGCUGUGCUCAUCUCCACUUCAUUAGGGAACAUUUUAAUAUUCUAAAUGAAAACUGUUUCAACUGCGCUCACUUGUUCCCAGAGAGCUCAUGCACGAUUAUGCCAAGCUCCAGCACGGCCCAACUGUUCUAAUUGGCUAUAAGUUUAAGGCAUUUGGGCUCUUUAAAAACCUAGGUGCAUGCAUCUAUUGCUGGUUUUCCUCCACAGUGCCAGGUGCUGUCGUUCACAAGGCACUCUGCACCAGGGGGUAUGCAGCAAAAGAGCCACCAACUAGGGAAGAGGGAAAAGGCACGGGAAUUACAGGUUCUCUCCCAGUACCACGUUAAGACUCCACUUCAAAACCACUUGGAACGAAAGAGCUCCCAUUGUUCAGCCAAGAACAAUAAAAUAAUUGUUUUAUUCUGUUAUUUUAUUUGAAUACUGCUCUGGCCCUACCUUGUUCUAAAGUUAUUGAGUGGGAUCACAGCACAAGGAUUAUACAGCUACUCUACCAUGGCUAAACAAGAGAAAAGAGGAGAAAAUGACCAUGAAAAGCUGAGAUGAAAAGAGCAAAAAAGCUCUACUACUAAACAAAUCACAGUGAUGAAAUGGAACAGAAGGUGACCAAGUCUAUUUUUACAUUUGUAGAUUUGGAGUUGCGUAGUUGCAACAAACCUGACAACUGAUGUGCCAGUCAGUGCUUCCCAAAGCAUGGAAGGUGUUUCCUCACAGCAUACAAAGAACAAACCACCAAGAGACAUAGAAGCACUGAGUUACACGGGGUUUAAACAACACACAGCAGGACAAAAGAUGAUGUAGAUGUAACUGCUUCAGAUUUCUUCAAGGAAGAGUCACCCGUGAAACACAGGAAAAUCUUUUGUGUCUGACUGCUACAUGAAAUGUCCCUCUGUGGACCAUGCUAGGGAAAUACUCAUUUAGUUCAGUCAUCUCAACCGAUUAGGACUGAGGAGAUGACAGCAGCAGCACGCAUGAUUAAGAUAUGAAAUAACAAUGAUUGGCAUGAUUAUUUCCACCGUAUUCUGCACAAUUUCCUUUUGCACUAUUAGCUAUUAGACUGCUCACGUUCUCUGAACAUGAGAAAAAACUUCAUUACUUUGAUGGUGACAGAGCACUGGAACAAGCUGCCCAGAGAGGUUGUGGAGUCUCCUCUGGAGAUACUCAAAACCUGCCUGGACAUUUUCCUGUGCAACCUACUCCAGGGAACCCGCUUUAGCAGAGGGGACUAGAUGAUCUCUAGAUGUCCCUCCCAACUUCUAUGGUUCUUUGACUCUGUGUGAUUCUGUGAUCUUC